AUUGAACGCUGGCGGCAGGCUUAACACAUGCAAGUCGAACGAGCGGCGGACGGGUGAGUAAUGUCUGGGAAACUGCCUGAUGGAGGGGGAUAACUACUGGCAACGGUAGCUAAUACCGCAUACCAUCAGAUGUGCCCAGAUGGGAUUAGCUGGUUGGUGGGGUAACGGCUCACCAAAGCGACGAUCCCUAGCUGGUCUUAGAGGAUGACCAGCCACACUGGAACUGAGACACGGGCCAGACUCCUACGUGAGGCAGCAGUGGGGAAUAUUGCACAAUGGGGGCAAGCCUGAUGAAGCCAUGCCGCGUGUAUGAAGAAGGCCUUCGGGUUGUAAAGUACUUUCAGCGAGGAGGCGUUACCCGCAGAAGAAGCACCGGCUAACUCCGUGCCAGCAGCCGCGGUAAUAC
rnacentral:rRNA from 1 species